GGAAGGAUGCAUAACCUAGAUAUUGUGUUGCUCUUCCAUUGAAACAGAGUUUCCUGCAACCCAGGCUAGCCUCAAAGUCACUGAGUAGUGGAGGAAGACCUUGAACUCCUUCCUCCUGCUUCUGCCUCCUGGGUGCCGGGAUUGCAGGAGCAGAAACCUUGGCACAGUAAAAACACUACAGUCCCUGGACACUAGUUGACUUUGAUCCACAGCCCUAAAGGCAGAACUCGUCAGAUUUGCUUGAUAUGGUCCUAUGCACGUAGGAAAGUUCAUGUGUGUUCAGAGUCAAGGCUGCGGCGAGGUCAUAAUUCAGCACAGGUGCUCUUCCUGCCUCAAGCCCCCACUGCAAGUCAACACUCAGUCCCAACAGCACUGCCUUCCACAGGGUCCCACCUCAAGCCGACCCGGUUUAGGUCUCAUUGAGAAGUCUUGGAAUUCUAGAGUGGAUAUUGAAGCUAGAAAGACUCAGAAGUUCACACUGGUCAACAACCACCUGUGGUAAAGACUGAGAAUAAGCACUUGGCCUUAGAGAUGGCAGGGCCCAGUCCUGCAUUCCUCCCAGGAUGGCUU
rnacentral:lncRNA from 1 species